UAACUCUGGGAUAAGCCUGGGAAACUGGGUCUAAUACCGGAUAUGACUCCUCAUCGCAUGGUGGGGGGUGGAAAGCUUUUGUGGUUUUGGAUGGACUCGCGUCCUAUCAGCUUGUUGGUGAGGUAAUGGCUCACCAAGGCGACGACGGGUAGCCGGCCUGAGAGGGUGACCGGCCACACUGGGACUGAGACACGGCCCAGACUCCUACGGGAGGCAGCAGUGGGGAAUAUUGCACAAUGGGCGGAAGCCUGAUGCAGCGACGCCGCGUGAGGGAUGACGGCCUUCGGGUUGUAAACCUCUUUCAGUAGGGAAGAAGCGAAAGUGACGGUACCUGCAGAAGAAGCGCCGGCUAACUACGUGCCAGCAGCCGCGGUAAUACGUAGGGCGCAAGCGUUAUCCGGAAUUAUUGGGCGUAAAGAGCUCGUAGGCGGUUUGUCGCGUCUGCCGUGAAAGUCCGGGGCUCAACUCCGGAUCUGCGGUGGGUACGGGCAGACUAGAGUGAUGUAGGGGAGACUGGAAUUCCUGGUGUAGCGGUGAAAUGCGCAGAUAUCAGGAGGAACACCGAUGGCGAAGGCAGGUCUCUGGGCAUUAACUGACGCUGAGGAGCGAAAGCAUGGGGAGCGAACAGGAUUAGAUACCCUGGUAGUCCAUGCCGUAAACGUUGGGCACUAGGUGU
rnacentral:rRNA from 1 species